AGUAAUGUAUGGGGAUCUGCCCGAUAGAGGGGAAUAACUACUGGAAACGGUGGCUAAUACCGCAUAAUGUCUACGGACCAAAGCAGGGGCUCUUCGGACCUUGCACUAUCGGAUGAACCCAUAUGGGAUUAGCUAGUAGGUGGGGUAAAGGCCCACCUAGGCGACGAUCUCUAGCUGGUCUGAGAGGAUGAUCAGCCACACUGGGACUGAGACACGGCCCAG
rnacentral:rRNA from 1 species